rnacentral:rRNA from 1 species
UAACAGGAUUAGAUACCCUGGUAGUCCACGCUGUAAACGGUGGGUACUAGGUGUGGGGUCCAUUCCACGGGUUCCGUGCCGUAGCUAACGCUUUAAGUACCCCGCCUGGGGAGUACGGCCGCAAGGCUAAAACUCAAAGGAAUUGACGGGGCCCCGCACAAGCGGCGGAGCAUGCGGAUUAAUUCGAUGCAACGCGUAGAACCUUACAUGGGUUUGACAUGGAUCGGGAGUGCUCAGAGAUGGGUGUGCCUCUUUUGGGGUCGGUUCACAGGUGGUGCAUGGCUGUCGUCAGCUCGUGUCGUGAGAUGCUGGGUUAAGUCCCGCAACGAGCGCAACCCUUGUUCACUGUUGCCAGCACGUUAUGGUGGGGACUCAGUGGAGACCGCCGGGGUCAACUCGGAGGAAGGUGGGGAUGACGUCAAGUCAUCAUGCCCCUUAUGUCCAGGGCUUCACGCAUGCUACAAUGGCUGGUACAGAGAGUGGCGAGCCUGUGAGGGUGAGCGAAUCUCGGAAAGCCGGUCUCAGUUCGGAUUGGGGUCUGCAACUCGACCUCAUGAAGUCGGAGUCGCUAGUAAUCGCAGAUCAGCAACGCUGCGGUGAAUACGUUCCCGGGGCUUGUACACACCGCCCGUCAAGUCAUGAAAGUUGGUAACGCCCGAAGCCGGUGGCCUAACCGUUGUGGGGGAGCCGUCGAAGGUGGGACUGGUGAUUAGGACUAAGUCGUAACAAGGUAACCGUA